GUGAGGAACCAUCUGCACACACACACAUGAGCAUGUCUUUGGACUGGGGGAGGAAACCAGAGUACCCAGAGGAAAUCCUUGCUUGCUCGGCGGAGGCGGGAUUCGAACACCCAACCCCGGAGUUUCCACACAGAUCUAGCUGAUUGCUUGAUUGGUCCCGCUUGGCAGGAAAAUGGCCUGUUGAAGUGUGUGAGAAGCAGGUGCAGGACUUGGCCCCAGCAGCCCCAGCCUGUGGCCACGGCACGGAAUAAUAGCAGCAGUGUUUCUACACAGUGGAGCGCUGUCACAACCAGCCACUUGCAAAAAUACGACACGUUUUUCAUAGACGUGUGCGCCGGGAAGGAGAAGCUCAAAGGUGAACCGUUUGUGACGUCAAGCCUACUGCAUCAGUCCUUCCAGUUAGCAAUUUAGCUGUAAAAACUUUUCAUUAGACCAUAGCAAGGUGCUUAUUUUCGGUGUCUGACUUUACUAAAGCACAUGGCUACAGCACUGUGUACUUCCUCUGUAGGUUUUUAAUCAAUUUAACUCGACAUUAGACAAUUUC
ensembl:lncRNA